GGAAUAUUGCGCAAUGGCCGAAAGGCUGACGCAGCGACGCCGCGUGUGGGAUGACGGCCUUCGGGUUGUAAACCACUGUCAGGAGGGACGAAUACUGGACGGCGAAGAGCCGAGCCAGGGUGACGGUACCUCCAGAGGGAGCACCGGCUCACGCCGGGCCAGCAGCCGCGGUAAUACGGAGGGUGCGAGCGUUGUCCGGAAUCACUGGGCGUAAAGGGCGCGUAGGCGGUUCGUUAAGUCGCUGGUGAAAUCCCGGGGCUCAACUCCGGGGCUGCCGGCGAGACUGGCGGGCUCGAGCACGGUAGAGGCAGAUGGAAUUCCCGGUGUAGCGGUGGAAUGCGUAGAUAUCGGGAAGAACACCAGUGGCGAAGGCGUUCUGCUGGGCCGUUGCUGACGCUGAGGCGCGACAGCGUGGGGAGCA
rnacentral:rRNA from 1 species